AUGCUUUCAUUGAAACAGAAUGAUAACAAAUAAGGGCCCUGGAAGUUUAGGUCUCUAGCUUAUGGAUUAUAAAGUUUUGCUUCAAUAUGUGCUCCCAAGGUAUUUCAGCUCAAAAUGGUCAGUGGCCAAAUUUCACUUGCAGGAAGGUCUACAACAUAUUGUUGCCUUUGGCAAGCGGAAGAAUACCAUCAUGAUCAUUGGCAUGGAUGGAAGUAGAAAAUGAUGCAAAAAAUGAAGAGGCUGAUAUUGAGGAGCUAGCAGUUGCAAAUCAGGUGGCAAAGUAAUUGUGAAUGGAACAGCAGUUGGAAUG